rnacentral:rRNA from 1 species
AUGUCAAUAAAGAUCUGCGUUGAAAUUUCAGUGAACUCUUACAGGAAUGUGAGCUGUCUUAAGUUGCCUAUCUCUUGUGGGAUGUUACCAGUAAAGCUGCAUCCUAGCAAAUUCCUGAAAGAAAAAACACACGCGAUAUGUCAGCUUUUCCCCUGUCUUUUCUUUUGCUCCUCUCCACCUAACCCAAAGAAGAAGAAUGUUCUUGUAUGGUUGCUGUUCUUACAGAAUGGUGAGCUGCUUCAGAUUUCCAAUAUUUGGGAUACGUCAAAGCGGAGAGUUGAUCUAUGGCAUUGCUUAAUGUACCUGCAACAUUCAUGCUCGAUAAUCUCCUGCAAUUACCAGGAAAUUCCAUCCCAGGGUUUGCAGGGAUCGGAUCCUGUCCAGCUUUGCGGUUGA